UCUACCUAUUAGGCAUUUCUGUGGCAAUAUCUAAUAGACUCCUUAAUCAUGACAUUGAAGAACUGAGCUGAUUCCAGCCCCUUUCCACCUGCUCAGCCCCAUCUUGUCCCAUCCCCUGUGGAUGGAGAGGACAUCCAUCCCAUUUUCCAGGUCCAGAUGUUGGAACCAUGUUCUCUCUCUCUCUUUCUCUUACACACACACAGACAGCAAAUCCAGCUUGUUAGAAAAUUCUGGCUACUCUGAAUUCAUUAACCACCUACUCCCUGUUCCCCACCCUCCUAGGAGCCACCUUCAACCCCUUGUUGGACACCAAUUAGCCUACUUCUUCCAUCUUUGCUUUUCUACAAUCUCAUCCACACAGAGUCAGAGGGAGCCUAUAAAAGCAUACAUUGAGGGGGUGGGUGUAGCUCAGUGAUACAGUGCAUGCUUAGCAUGCAUGAGAUCCUGGGUUCAAACUACAGCACCUUCACUAAAAUAAAUAAAUUAACCUCCUCCCAAGAAAACCCAAAACAAAAGCAUAAAUUGGACAUCACCCAUCCCAUCAAAGCUCACUAAAAGGGUCACCAUUCCAUUAGGAGCCAAAGUCGUCCCAAAGUCUUCGAGGACACGGCCUGCUCUGCCUCUCCGCCCACACUCUCCCCAUCACUCUGGGGGCCUCUGGCUCCGGCUCUUCCUUCUUCCUCCGGAUCUAUUCUGCUUCAAGUUCAUUACUCCUUGAGAUCUGCCAGGAUUGCCUUAUUCCCUCCUGCCUGCCUCCCACCCCACCACCAUCACCUGAGUUUGCUCAUAUCACUCUUAUUUUUCCCCAAGCUCUUGCUACCCCCAUCAUGUUGCCUGUUUUCUCUGCUAAAACUCUGAGCCCCCAGUGAUGGGGAGUCGUGUCUAUUUUGUUGACUAAUAAAGCCCAAGAGCCUUGGGAAUGGGUAUAGUUACUAGAUUCCCAUAAGUAGUAGGAGCUUAUACAGAUUUGCUGAAUGAAUGCAGAGGUCCUGGUCCAAUUCGAUGGAGCACUUCUGUGUCCUGCUCAAAGAUUAACUCUCCUUUCCUCCUGAGAGAGGGUGACCACUUCCUUGGUGAUCAAAGAUUGAACAGGAUCCAGGGGGAAGUACCAAGCCUGUCCCAUCGGCCAUCCUGUGUGUCAUGUCCUGUGACCCAGUGGAUGCUCAGCACCCUCCAGCUGAAGAAACAGAUUGCCUUAGGUACAUGAAAGGUGAGGACACCUACUAUCCCCAUGGAGCCCAGGUGGGGCUGGGAGUCUGCUGUUUGUACAGCCGGUGGGCUCGUGUUGCUUUGGGCAUCCCUGUGCCUGAAUUCCUGCAGUACACUCGGUGGUAAGAACGGGGGUGCCUGGCAGGGAGGGAAGCGUGUCGGGGGACUACACAGCUGGGGAGACGUUAACCUGGGGUGAGCGGGAGCCGGCUGAUGCAUGGAAUCUCGGUGCAGGGAACUCUCCAAACUCAGAGAGGUUCCCACUCCCGCAGGGUCCCUUUGAUCAGGGUGCUAGGCUGUCAGCACUGCAGGGUCCCUGUGAGGAUCAUGGUGCCUUCAGGCAGUGGGAAGUGAGGGGUCCAGUGGCAAUUAAAUUAACUGUGCACCCAAAGCCAA